UUCCGGUUGAUCCUGCCGGACCCGACUGCUAUCCGGGUGAGACUUAGCCAUGCAAGUCUAAAGGAACACCUAAGCGUUCCUUGGCGUACUGCUCAGUAACGCGUGGUCAACUUACCCUGUGGAGGGAAAUAACCUCGGGAAACUGAGGAUAAUGUCCCAUAGGUGAAGAGGCUUGGAAUAGUUCUUCAUCGAAAGGUCUUGGUAAAUGGACCAAGUUCCGCCACAGGAUAGGACCGCGUCCGAUUAUGGUUGUUGGCGAGGUAACGGCUCACCAAGCCUAUAAUCGGUAGGGGCCGUGAGAGCGGGAGCCCCGAGAUGGGUACUGAGACAACGACCCAGGCCUUACGGGGUGCAGCAGGCGCGAAAACUUCGCAAUGCGCGAAAGCGUGACGAGGUUACCCGGAGUGCCUUCGCCUUAGGAAGGCUGUGGCGGGCGUAUAAAAUAACCC
rnacentral:rRNA from 1 species